rnacentral:rRNA from 1 species
AUACGUAUGGUCCGAGCGUUGUCCGGAAUAACUGGGCGUAAAGGGCGCGUAGGCGGUUUUACAAGUCUGGUGUGAAAGAUCUCAGCUUAACUGAGGGACCGCGCUGGAAACUGUAAGACUAGAAUCUAGGAGGGGAAGCUGGAAUUCCUGGUGUAGGGGUGAAAUCUGUAGAUAUCAGGAAGAACACCGGUGGCGAAGGCGAGCUUCUGGCCAUAGAUUGACGCUGAGGCGCGAAAGCGUGGGGAGCGAACAGGAUUAGAAACCCCAGUAGUCC